UGCCAUUUGGAUUUCAUUGCCCCCCUGGCGCACCCCCUAGACGGGGAACUGGGGGUGCUCCAUCAGGAACAUUUUACUCUUUUACAGAUCAUUUCCUGCAUUCUACGUGUCUUGACAUGGCUUAGGCCUGUGACUAGGGUGGACAAUAAAACCCACAGGUCAGGUGAUUUAGGUUCAGGUUUAGGUUCAGGUUUAAACAUUACAUGGACACUCACCAUUUGAUGACUGAGAGUUUUUUUUUGGGGGGGGGGGCAUUUAAAGUAUGCUAAUAUUUUGUAAAUAUAUUUUUUAGUUGGUUGUCACUUUGCUCAGACAGUGGGAAGGUUGUAAGCAGGAUCCCUGUUCUCUAGAAACAGUGGAAGGUUGUAAGCAGGAUCCCUGUUCUCUAGAAACAGUGGAAGGUUGGACGCAGGAUCCCUGUUCUCUAGAAACAGUGGGAAGGUUGGAAGCAGGAUCCCUGUUCUCUAGAAACAGUGGAAAGUUUGGAAGCAGGAAUCUCUGUUCUCAGAAAACAGUGGGAAAGCAGGGAUCCCGUUCUCUAGAAACAGUGGGAAGGUUGGAAGCAGGAUCCCUGUCUCUAGAAUCAUGAAAGGUUGAAGCAUGGAUCCCUGUUCUCUAGAAACUUGGAAGGUUUGGAAGCAGGGAUCCCUGUCUCUAGAAACAGUGGGAAAGGUU
rnacentral:lncRNA from 1 species